rnacentral:rRNA from 1 species
CGGGCUAUAUCGUAUCAGCUUGUUGGUGAGGUAACGGCUCACCAGGGCUAUGACGCGUAUCUGGUUUGAGAGGAUGAUCAGACACACUGGAACUGAGACACGGUCCAGACUCCUACGGGAGGCAGCAGUAGGGAAUAUUGCACAAUGGGGGAAACCCUGAUGCAGCAACGCCGCGUGGAGGAUGACACAUUUCGGUGCGUAAACUCCUUUUAACAGAGAAGUGACGGUAUCUGUUGAAUAAGCGCCGGCUAACUCCGUGCCAGCAGCCGCGGUAAUACGGGGGGCGCAAGCGUUAUUCGGAAUCACUGGGCGUAAAGGGUGCGUAGGCGUCCUAAUAAGUCUCCUGUGAAAGCCCACGGCUCAACCGUGGAACUGCAGGGGAAACUGUUAGGAUAGAGUGUGGAAGAGGUAGAUGGAAUUUCCGGUGUAGGGGUAAAAUCCGUAGAG